rnacentral:rRNA from 1 species
AUACGUAAUGUGAAUUGCAGAAUUCAGCGAACCAUCGAAUCUUUGAACGCACAUUGCGCCCGCCAGCAUUCUGGCGGGCAUGCCUGUCCGAGCGUCAUUU